rnacentral:sRNA from 1 species
AUGAUAGCAAUGACUUCAAUUUUAAAAAUUAGUCCUCUGGCAUACAGGCUGUACUUGGAGGAUCGGGAUUAAUAUUAGUGCAUUUUUAAAACACUUAAAAGUUUUACAAAUGUAUUUGUGUAUUUUCUGUUUUGGUGCCUGUUUUAUAGAAGAUGAUUGAAGAAUCACUGAAGAUUAAAAUAAAAAAGGAAUUAGAAAUGGAAAAUGAAUUAGAAAUGAGUAAUCAAGAAAUAAAAGACAAAUCUGCUCACAGUGAAAAUCCUUUAGAGAAAUACAUGAAAAUCAUCCAGCAGGAGCAAGACCAGGAGUCGGCAGAUAAGAGCUCAAAAAAGAUGGUCCAAGAAGGCUCCCUAGUGGACACGCUGCAAUCUAGUGACAAAGUCGAAAGUUUAACAGGCUUUUCUCAUGAAGAACUAGACGACUCUUGGUAACCAUGUUUGCUGCCCAGCUUCUAACUUACAUACCGUGAGAAGUUACAUAACAUUUACUCCUUUGU